ACGAACGCUGGCGGCGUGCUUAACACCUGCAAGUCGAACGGAAAGGCCCUGCUUGCAGGGUACUCGAGUGGCGAACGGGUGAGUAACACGUGGGUGAUCUGCCCUGCACUUCGGGAUAAGCCUGGGAAACUGGGUCUAAUACCGGAUAUGACCUUCCAUGUAGUGUGGGGGGUGGAAAGAUUUAUCGGUGUGGGAUGAGCCCGCGGCCUAUCAGCUUGUUGGUGGGGUAAUGGCCUACCAAGGCGUCGACGGGUAGCCGGCCUGAGAGGGUGGACGGCCACAUUGGGACUGAGAUACGGCCCAGACUCCUACGGGAGGCAGCAGUGGGGAAUAUUGCACAAUGGGCGGAAGCCUUAUGCAGCGACGCCGCGUGGGGGAUGACGGCCUUCGGGUUGUAAACCUCUUUCGACAGGGACGAAGCUUCGGUGACGGUACCUGUAGAAGAAGCACCGGCUAACUACGUG
rnacentral:rRNA from 1 species